UACGGAGGGUGCAAGCGUUGUCCGGAUUUAUUGGGUUUAAAGGGUGCGUAGGCGGCUAAUUAAGUCAGCGGCGAAAUUCCAGAGCUCAACUCUGCGAACUGCCAUUGAUACUGGUUGGCUUGAGUACAGAUGAGGUAGGCGGAAUUGACAGUGUAGCGGUGAAAUGCUUAGAUAUUGUCAAGAACACCUAUUGCGAAGGCAGCUUACUAAACUGUAACUGACGCUGAGGCACGAAAGCGUGGGGAUCAAACAGG
rnacentral:rRNA from 1 species